CUCCUUCUGUAGUAAUAGGAAUGUGGCCAGGCAUGUGGUUAGACCAUAUUUCCCACUCUCUAGUAGCCAGAUGUGGCCAUGUGACUAGAUGUCACCAACAGAAGUGAGAGGAAGUGACUUGUUCCAUGUUGGAGUCAAGCUUCUUAGAAAUGGAUGUGCUUCUUCCAGGAUCUCUUUCUCCUUCCACCAGCUAAAUGCAGAUAGCAACAACCCCACAGUGGGGACACAGAGAAGUGAAGCCUGGGACCCUGAAUGAUCACAUGGAAGAGACUCACCCUUCUGGUUUCAAUAUUUGACUUAUAGUGGUACUGUCCCAUGCUGCUGGCAACCCCAGAAGUGCCAUCAGUGACCCCGAACUCUGCUGAAGGCCUACACCUGCUGAAGAAGCUCAUGCCUAGUUUGAACCCACUCAUGACUGAGCCCAAGGACAGUCUUGUCUGUGCCAAGGGUCCUGGCGGCUGCAUUGAAGGACUGAAGGGAAAAAAAAAUUACCAUUUUGCUUUCUCCGCUCUUGACUGUGAAGUUUAAUAUAAGGUAUGGCUCAUCUUUGUGAUGGUUCAUAACCUGGCUCUAACCAUCAAACCACUGGACCAUCCUGCGCCUCAUCUCUCUCCCCUACAGACUCUCUCCUUACGUGUCUGGCUUUUGGGUUCCUUACACCUGGUAUCCCCAGAAAGCACUGAGGACUCUGAUUCAUCAUGUCAAGCGGUCAGUUAGAAUCCAGGAGAGCCUCUCUCCGGCCUCACCUUACUUCCUGUACCAGGAGAGAUAAUCAUUAAUAGUGAGAGAGAGUUGAUGGGAUUAGAGUCCAGAAGUGACAACCUCUCCUGAACCCGAACUCAUUGAUUUCUUCGUUUUACAAAACAGUGUUCUUGAGAAAAAUAAACAAAAAAAGGAAAUAAUACAACUAAUAACUCCAAGGUCUAAACGUAAACCAGCUGUGUCUCAUAACAACAGAAGCUGCAAUGGCCAACAUACGUCAUUUAUAAAACGUCAACUUAUGUGGAUGUGGAUUGGGAUUUCUUCGCAUAAUGCAAAGAGCACAUAAAAAAUGAGUAGGGAAAAGACUGCUAUUUGUGUAUAUAUGUAAUUAUUACAUAUAUUCUUAAAUGAUAUUUAAUAAAUAAUCAAAUGAUUAAAUAAUA
rnacentral:lncRNA from 1 species